CAAAUUAAAUCAACAAAUCAUAUAGCUUUCUUUUGCCAUGUCAUACAUGUUCUUAAUCGAGACCUAAUUCCGUUUCAUCAUCGUCGUUCUCGAUUCCGUUUCUUAGAGUUAUUACGAGUCAUGCUAUCCUUCCACCUUCCUUGGUUUCUCCACUUAUAUAAGCUUCUUCACUGAAUCUUUUCUCCAACUACAACCAUGUAAAAACUCCUCACCUUGCCCCUUUUCAUAUUGUCAAUAUAAAAGUUCAUUGUCAUAUUCAAUAUCUAAAUAUUCUUCUCACUGUUUGAUCUCUAUUACUUCCAAAUCACAAGUUCUCUGCAUUGGUUACAUCAGCAUUCCUCCGCCAUAUCAGAAUUGGAUCAAAGGAAUGCAAAAGUCACUUAUGCAAAGAACCAUGUUGAUCUCUUUCAUUACAACUAUUAAGUAUGAUCGCGUAUAUGACACUCUUUAUACUGGCUAUUGAGUGGAUUAGAGAGAAUUAAGCUGCAAAUCUGGGAUACUACCAGACAGGAGCGAUUCAGGACUGUCACAACUGGUUUCUCUCUUUUUUUUGGUUUUUGUAAAUCCCAGAUUUUGCAUCUCAAUUCUUCUUACCAUUAUAUAUGCACUCUGUAUCUUUCCUCACUAUGGUUGGAACCUGUAGUACUCAUUAAUGUGGUUUCUUCUUAUUACAGCUUAGUACUGUGGAGCCAUGGGAAUUUCGCUUGCGUAUGAUAUCACCGACAAAGCAUCCUUCAACAAACAAUGGUCACUUGCUAGGAAGGUGAUCAAAGAUUUGGUACUGUAAAUGGAUAUUCUACUAGAUGAUACAUGUGCUUAUGUGCACAUAUCUAAUGCUUUCUAUAAAUGUAGGAAGUGUUUCUUUGGAAAGGCAAGUGAAGAAGGAAACACGGUACAAUUUAAUGAGGUAGAUUACAAAGUUCACGAGUUUGUUUUUUCU